AGCUGAAGCGUUUUUGUGCGAUGGUUCCCUCGAACUCGAUGCGACUUUUUAUUUACCUCGUCAUCGUCGUAGGAGACGCGUCUGCGUCUGCGGUGGGUGUGCGAAAAUCCGACUUGUUCUUCUCCUUGAUUAUGACGACUCUGCUCCUCAUCGUGCUUCAUCGUCAGCGUCUGCGGAAGACAAGCUGACACCUGCCACGGCGCGCCGAGCAGAACAAGAAGAAAUGUUUCUAGAGCCCAUGGGCGGGAGGUCGUUUCUGCCUGAAGUCGGCGAGUUCAUUUCAAGCGUUGGCAAAUUGCUGGGCACCCUG